rnacentral:ncRNA from 1 species
AAACGAUAAUGGCAAAUCUAAUGAAAAUUAGAGACGCAAAGCUAGAGGGCCUUCCUUCUCCAUGAAGAUGGCAGCCAGCUUCCGAA